rnacentral:piRNA from 1 species
UACUCUCUAGGGAUUUUAAUGGUCC